AGCGAACGCUGGCGGCAGGCCUAACACAUGCAAGUCGAACGGAUCCUUCGGGAUUAGUGGCGGACGGGUGAGUAACACGUGGGAACGUGCCCUUUGGUUCGGAACAACUCAGGGAAACUUGAGCUAAUACCGGAUGUGCCCUUCGGGGGAAAGAUUUAUCGCCAUUGGAGCGGCCCGCGUCUGAUUAGCUAGUUGGUGGGUAAAGGCCCACCAAGGCGACGAUCAGUAGCUGGUCUGAGAGGAUGAUCAGCCACAUUGGGACUGAGACACGGCCCAAACUCCUACGGGAGGCAGCAGUGGGGAAUCUUGCGCAAUGGGCGAAAGCCUGACGCAGCCAUGCCGCGUGAAUGAUGAAGGUCUUAGGAUUGUAAAAUUCUUUCACCGGGGACGAUAAUGACGGUACCCGGAGAAGAAGCCCCGGCUAACUCCGUGCCAGCAGCCGCCGUAACAC
rnacentral:rRNA from 1 species